rnacentral:rRNA from 1 species
UACGGAGGGGGCUAGCGUUGUUCGGAAUUACUGGGCGUAAAGCGCACGUAGGCGGAUUGGAAAGUUGGGGGUGAAAUCCCGGGGCUCAACCCCGGAACUGCCUUCAAAACUCCCAGUCUGGAGGUCGAGAGAGGUGAGUGGAAUUCCGAGUGUAGAGGUGAAAUUCGUAGAUAUUCGGAGGAACACCAGUGGCGAAGGCGGCUCACUGGCUCGAUACUGACGCUGAGGUGCGAAAGCGUGGGGAGCAAGCAGG